rnacentral:rRNA from 1 species
GAUGAACGCUGGCGGCGUGCCUAAUACAUGCAAGUCGAGCGAAUGGAUUAAGAGCUUGCUCUUAUGAAGUUAGCGGCGGACGGGUGAGUAACACGUGGGUAACCUGCCCAUAGGACUGGGAUAACUCCGGGACACCGGGGCUAAUACCGGAUGACAUUUUGAACCGCAUGGUUCGAAAUUGAAAGGCGGCUUCGGCUGUCACUUAUGGAUGGACCCGCGGCGCAUGAGCUAGUUGGUGAGGUAACGGCUCACCAAGGCAACGAUGCGUAGCCGACCUGAGAGGGUGAUCGGCCACACUGGGACUGAGACACGGCCCAGACUCCUACGGGAGGCAGCAGUAGGGAAUCUUCCGCAAUGGACGAAAGUCUGACGGAGCAACGCCGCGUGAGUGAUGAAGGCUUUCGGGUCGUAAAACUCUGUUGUUAGGGAAGAACAAGUGCUAGUUGAAUAAGCUGGCACCUUGACGGUACCUAACCAGAAAGCCACGGCUAACUACGUGCCAGCAGCCGCGGUAA